rnacentral:tRNA from 1 species
GCCUUCGUAGUGUAACGGUAGCACACUCGGCACAUAUUUGAGAAGUCCAGGUUCGAGUCCCGGCGAGGGCA